ACAGCACAAUAAUAUUUGUCAUUGUCGUGUUUUCCACAGAUCUGGAGAAGGCGGAAAUAACCUGCCUGAGAGAGUGGUGGGCCUCUCACCACCAUGAACUUUUGUCAUGGGUGCAACAGAGGGACCCCUCUCAACAGGUGGCCCAACCACCAAGGGUGCAGGACAGUGCCAGGGUGCAGGACACUGUCAGGGUGCAGGACACUGUCAGGGUGCAGGACAGUGCCAGGGUGCAGGACAGUGCCAGGUUGCAGGGUGGCCGUGAUCAUCCCACCAAAAGAAGUAAUCCAUCACCCAGUGGGUCGACUACACCUGCUAAACGAGCAUAUAUGUCACCUCCUCCAUUUGACCUGGAGAGCCUCUCAAAGGCAGAGGGAGCAAUGUCGGCCAGUAACGAGUUAUGCAAGUCACUAUAUUGUUCUGUACUGCCUUCUCUCCUUCCUCCUCCGUUAUCCUUUUCUCCCUCCUCCUUUAUCCUUCCUCCUCCUUUAUCCUUCUCUCCCUCCUUUAUCCUUCUUCCUCCUUUACCUUUCCUUCCCUUCUCUAUUACAGUAGUAAACAACCUAACUGGUAAUAGGCAUUUGAUGACCUUUUCUGCUAUUCUUGGUCACACUGCCUAAACAUUAUUAUUGUAAGUUAAAACAAUUGUCACUCAACAUUUUCAGUGUCCCGGCCAUCGACCUGUGGGGAGGUGGGAGCCAGCGUUAACCAAGACCCCAGAGAAUAUGUAACAAGUGAGAGGAAGUAUUUGUUGUGGCAUCUGUGUGUUUGUUUACGUGGCAUUAAAACUCCCAGAAUGACCCCUAAGGAUCCUUACAAUACCAGCCACACUUGAUUUACUCUUUGUAUUGAUGUUACAUAAUGUUUUUCAGGUGUUACAGGGAACAUAGGGACGUGACAAUUGAACAAUUUUUAGACGCUGGUAAAGUGGGGGAGCUGUAUGAAAUAGCUGUAAAGAUAAAGAGCUUCAAUAUACUGAAGACACCACAUGCAGAUGAAGCAGCUACGAGGGACUGCAGGUCCUUAGAGGGUCGGCACGAGUACAGUCAUACCACAAGAUGCCAUUGAACUGGAAUUUGCAGAAAUUUGGUCCGAGACAAAAAUGAAAGCUAAUCUGGGUGGAGAGGAAUUGAGACGAUUCUUUGCUCUGCCUACAGCUUAUUCGUGGGAACAAGAUGGACUUGACCGUCAACUGUCGAACAUAUUGAACUCACUGAAGGAAUCUCAAGAGUAUUACUUCUUUGGAGUAAGAAAGAACUCGACCGAUGACGGUAAAAUUUUCUUCGAAAUCACACGGACGGCAGUACAACUCUUGUCCAUGUAGUGAUGAUUGUCUCACUUACAUUACUUGUAUUAUUAUUAUUUUUAUUAACCAUUCCUAGUUGAUUUAGUACCAUAAGCUGUUGAAGCCCAGUCUUGUACAGAAGUAAACGUUAAUAGUUUA